GGGGGAUUAGUGGUGUAGGAGCUUUAUCUUUAAACAUAUGCCAAUUUUUUUAUUGUAUACUCUUGAGUCAUUUUAGUGUUUCUAGCAAACUUAUAAUGAUGGUUGUCUAUACUUCUUAUUUAGUUUUUAAUCCUUAAUUUAUGCACUGGUGGAGCCACAUUUGAUAUAUCAAUGCUUUCAUUUAUGCUUUUUGGUAUCAAGGUUCAUAUACUAGGAACACUCAAUGACAUGAUCUUUUUGGUGAGUUGACUUUACUUUUAUGUUUUGGAUC
rnacentral:lncRNA from 1 species